GCUACCAACUUUCAUUUUACAGAUGUCGAAAUUAAGAACAGAGAAAGGGACGUUAAUUGACCAAGAAACUUUUUACAUUCCUGUGACGGAAUGAUUUCUAGAAAAAUCAAAACUAACUUUUAAAAUAAUACUAAAAAUUAGUUAAAGGAAACCAACACUGAUUAUUUCUAUAAAUCUCCCAAACAUUUGAAUUCCCCUUUCAUCAGCAAGGAGUUUCUUGAAUUAAAGCCGCUGGUUCAACUUGGAGUGGUGCGACACUUUGAAUAGCUGCAGGGAGUUGGCCAGGGCCUGUUCAGAUAGACGACUGAGCUUUCUAGCGAGUGUGAACGAACAGUAAAAAUUGCUGUCGCCACAGAGGGAGAUCCUGGCCUACUGGAGAAGUCCCAGUUAAGGACGAAGAUAUUGCACAGCCACGGUUUGAUGUGCUGUAUCAGAGCAAGAGAAUCCCAGCCGUCCAGUGAGAAGGCACGGACGGAGGCGGCUGUUGACACUCGUCUCCAAAAGUUUCACAACACUCUUCAGGGAACCCUCAUGUCUUCCUUACCCGAGCGAACGCGCGCUCAGAUAAGGGUUCCUGGCACUCAUCCUCCCUCCGCAGAUUCUGUGGUCCCUUCUGAGCCUGGGUUCUACCCUCUGCCAAGCUGGAAAGGGAAUCGUGGAAAGGGGAUCUUCAACUCUGGCAAGAGCUGAUGCCGCCACACCUCAGCUCCGCAAUCAGACCCGAGAAGGGGUCUCCCAGGACCCCUACACCGCCCCUGGAUGGACGGGGUUUCCAUAGACAAACCGCUCCUGGGCAAACUAUCUGUAUAGUUUAGCGUAGAAGCCCACCGGGCGUGGAACUGUGGAGGAGGCCGCUUUGUUUCUCACCUUGUUUUCCUAGUGGGAUGCCGAAUAGGCGAACUGCAAUUUCCCCUGUAAUCUCGUUCCGAAUAUGGGUGAGGUCGGCGUGGUCCGGACACGCAAACAGAUUGGGGCCGGGUGCAGAGGAGCGGAGGGUGGGCGUUCCAGGCUCUGUGGCUGGGACCGCACCCCAUCUCUGCAAGGACGCCCCUCCCCGCUGGGCAGAGGAACCAGACUGGCAGGCGUCCCGAGGACCGCCACAAAAGAUACCGGCCAUAGAUGCUACGACGAUCGAGAAGAACCCCACCCCUGGAGGGUAGAGGGGAGGGGGCGCUGCAGAACCCAGAAAUCUAGAGCUGCCGGAGGUCUGGUCCUCUUUGGCGGGAUGGUCAGAGAAAGUCAAAUAAAGAGGGAUUUUUUCCAGUA